GCCGGCGGCACUAGCGCGGUGGUCCCACCUGACCCCAUGCCGAACUCAGAAGUGAAACGCCGUAGCGCCGAUAGUGUGGGGUCUCCCCAUGUGAGAGUAGGGAACUGCCAGGC
rnacentral:rRNA from 1 species